UCCACGCUCCCGCUGCGCCUCCUCAUGUGAUUACAACUUAAUCAUAGGCACGCAGGCCCGACAAUAAACGAGAAAUAUAAUGGAGGUUCGUAGACCUCAAUAAUAAUAAUCACAAGUACACACAUCACACGGUCCAUGAUCAUCCGUCCACACAUCAUACAUCACAUGUAUAAAUAAUCAUCAUCAUGUAAGACUACUAGAUAAUAAUAAAA
rnacentral:lncRNA from 1 species